AACAAAAAAGAAAACUUAGAAAAUAAAAAAAGAAUAUUACUUAAAAGUAAAAUGCUAAAUGAAAUUAAAAAUUUAAUAAACGAACACAAUGGUCUUGUAAAUAUGGAAACAGAUUUAACCAAACAAUUAGAAAGUACAAAAGAAUAUAUGACAAAUGUAAAAAAACAGUAUAUACUUUUAAAAAAAAAAAAAAUCGAUUUAAAUAAAAAAUUAUUUAUUUUUGAGAACAAAUUAUUAAAAAUAGAAUUGUUACAUUUUUCUCGACCUACAAGUGAUAUACCACUAUUUGAUGAGUUACCUUCGAAGUUAGUUUCGAAAGAGGAAAAACAACAAAAGGGUUGUAGUGGUGAAGAAUAUAUAGGACAUUCUACACAAGUUGAUGAUGAUAGCAUUGUUCACACUAAUGAAAAAGUUAAGGAAAAUGGUGGUGAGUUUGGUAAUGCGUUUGGUAGUGGACAUAAUAAUGGACUUGAUAAUAAGUUUACUGUAACAGAAAAUAAAAUAAUAAAUGAAGAUUUUUUUUUUUCAGAGGAGUCAAGUGUUGAACAAGAAGAAGACAUCAACGCUGAACUCAUUUUUAAACAAUUCAUAUUUGAUGUAGGAAAUGAUAAAAUGUGUUAUGUUAGCGAUGAAACAGAUACAUUUAGUGACAUACAUAAUAGUAAUAAUAAUAAUAAUAAUAUUAAUAAUAAUAAUAAUAAUAUUAAUAAUAAUAAUAAUAAUAAUCCGACUGGUAUAUACGAAUGUACCACCUCGGGCUAUACAAACGAACACAACGACACAGAUGACACUCUAACUGACACAGCCGAAAAUAACGACAUAAAUGAAAUUCUAAGUGACAUAAGCAAACAUAACAGUGCAACGAGUGAUAAUAAUGAAGACACCAUGCUUACAAGUAGCCAACAAAAAGUGAGUGACGAUGAAGAAACUGGAAGCUGUGACAUAUUAAAAAUACAAUCCGAAAUUAAUAAAGUAACAAACUUAUUAUCAAAAAUUAAUACUAACAGCAUAGAAAAUGAUGAAUUAUCUGUUAAUUCCUUUACAGAUGAUAUAGAAUUAAAUGUAAAAAGAGCGGUUAAUGAUGGUAAUGCUAACAAUAAAAGUGACAAUAACAGCGACAAUAACAUGGACAAUAACAGCGACAAUAACAUGGAC
rnacentral:lncRNA from 1 species